rnacentral:lncRNA from 1 species
GGAGGACUCACUCAAGAGCACCUCCACCUUCCGUGCGGCUGAGGCUGCAGCUGCUACUGCUGCAGCUCUGAAGAGCCGAUGAAACGCUUUUCACCUUUUGUCAAAUUGCUAGGAAGUAGGAGGCUGAGAGAGAUGAGAAGCUUCAGAUUACAGAAAAGGACAAAAAGAAGUCUGGCCUUCUUGGAUAUUUAGAUCUGACUCAGAGCUUUCCAGUGAAGAGGCCCUUGGAAAAGGAAGGCUGGAGAAGCAGCAGAUUGCUGAAGGCGCGGCUGAAGUGCACCUCCAGGAACCCCUUCCUGAGUUCCCCAUCACGUCCCCUCCAUCGAGCACCUCUCUCCUCACCUGGAAACUGCAAUAUUGCUGACCUACACACUCCUGCAGGAAGAGUCGGGGACUCACUGCCUCUGUAUCACUCUCAGGAGGCACCACAAUCUUUUGCCCACGACAGACCCUCAAAAAGGAGGAGUCCAUUGAAUACAAUGGUUCCCUUUAAAAAUAGUUAUUUAUUUUUCUCCCUCCUUUGCUCAAAUUCCUUGUGCUUAGUAACAGACAUAACUGCCCACCACAAAACCCCAGUGUUCAGUAUUUCACAAGUUUGAUUCUGUCAGCCCCCCGGGGGGAGGAAAAGUGAGGAAUAAGCUGUGUGGAGGGACCUGGGACUGGGGGAAUGAUAGUGUCUACCUCUUCUCUCCCCACCUGCCCCGAUGUCACAGGGUCAGCAGAAGGGAGGGUCUUGGGAACAAUGCUCUGGAAGCCAUCCGAAAGAGUUCAGUCCCUGCUAGGCUACUCUGGGCCACUCCUCUAAAGGGCCGAAUGAAAGAAGCCAGUGUUCCAGGGUCUAAGGCAAACUAGGAGCUGGAUCUAUCUGCUCAAAACUAAACCCUCCCUCUUGCCCAUGCUCUUGCCCUCUCCCUCACUCCCUGUGUUAAGCUGAAGUCCUAUGGAGACAAGCCAGAAGGGGACUCACGGAAGGAUGGGGCACAGGGUCCUGUGCUGUACCCCACUUCUUGAUACACUUGCUCUAAGGCAUCUGCCAGACAUCCCACCCCUAAUGACCAGACCUACAAAUAAUCCCAUACCCCAUGACGGUGCCCCACCUGGCAUCCCAAAGUUCUCACAGAGAACCAGCAGCCCUGCAGGAGACGGCUCUCAGGUCCCAUUCAUCCAAGCCCCAACCAGACCCCUCCAAUGGGUCUGGAAGCAAAAGCACUGGGCAUUAAAAUGUCAGGGCCUGGCCUCCCUGGUGUGUGGGGCAGCAGUUGAAGCCUAUUCUUGGGGUCCCGAAGUGCCCCCUCACCUCUUCCUUCCCUUUCUGCCUCCUGCCCACACAAACAUUUGCUGGAGGACUGCUCUAUAAACUGACAUCAGUGGAAAAGAAACAUCCGGAGUACAAUCAGAGUUGAGUCAUUAAACAUCACAGAAUCCCUUAGGGGAAGAAAAAGGCCAAAAUGAGCCACUAAAUGCUAGGGCUUCAAAACCCCA